rnacentral:rRNA from 1 species
AACGUAGGAGACAACCGUUAUCCGGAGUUACUGGGCGUAAAGGGCGUGUAGGCGGUUUGUUAAGUCUGGCGUGAAAGCUCUCGGCUAAACCGGGAGAGGUCGUUGGAUACUGGCAAACUAGAGGACGGUAGAGGCGUGUGGAAUUCCGGGUGUAGUGGUGAAAUGCGUAGAGAUCCGGAGGAACACCAGUGGCGAAGGCGACACGCUGGGCCGUACCUGACGCUGAGGAGCGAAAGCAUGGGGAGCGAACAGG